rnacentral:rRNA from 1 species
UACGGAGGGUGCAAGCGUUGUCCGGAUUUAUUGGGUUUAAAGGGUGCGUAGGCGGCCCUGUAAGUCAGUGGUGAAAUACUGCAGCUUAACUGUAGCAUUGCCAUUGAUACUAUCUGUCUUGAAUACCGUGGAGGUGAGCGGAAUAUGUCAUGUAGCGGUGAAAUGCUUAGAUAUGACAUAGAACACCAAUUGCGAAGGCAGCUCACUACGCGAAUAUUGACACUGAGGCACGAAAGCGUGGGGAUCAAACAGG